rnacentral:rRNA from 1 species
CCUACGGGAGGCAGCAGUGAGGAAUAUUGGUCAAUGGACGAGAGUCUGAACCAGCCAAGUAGCGUGAAGGAUGACUGCCCUAUGGGUUGUAAACUUCUUUUAUAUGGGAAUAAAUUGUUCCACGUGUGGGAUUUUGUAUGUACCCUAUGAAUAACGAUCGGCGAAAUCCGUGCCCGCAGCCGCGGUAAUUCGGAGGAUCCGAGCGUUAUCCGGAUUUUUUGGGUUUAAAGGGAGCGUAGGUGGAUUGUUAAUUCAGUUGUGAAAGUUUGCGGCUCAACCGUAAAAUUGCAUUUGAAACUGGCAGUCGUGAGUAGAGGAGAGGUGGGCGGAAUGCGUGGUGUAGCGGUGAAAUGCAGAGAUAUCACGAAGAACUCCGAUUGCGAAGGCAGAUCACUGGACUGCAACUGACACUGAGGCUCGAAAGUGUGGGUAUCAAACAGGAUUAGAUACCCGAGUAGUA